UAGAGAAGUCAAUGUUCAUGCCAUCAGGUUGGAGGCUACCCAGCCGGUAUAUAACCUGAGUGUGGCUUCAUCUUGACAGUAGAGGAGGCCAUGGAUAGACAUACCAGAAUGGGAAUGGGACGUGGAAUUAAAAUGUGUGGCCACUGGGAGAUCCUGCUUUCUCUGGUGGACCGAGCGUAGGUGUUCAGCGAAACGGUCUCCUAGUCUGCAUCGGGUCUCACCAAUAUAUAAAAGGCCGCACCGGGCGCAGUAUACCACACCAGCUGACUCACAUGUGUUUCUGCAGAUACUGGAAAUCUGGAGCAACACACACAAAAUGCAGGAGGAUGUUGGGACCAUGUUAUAUCCUCAGAGAUCUUGACACCCAGAAACUUGAAGCUGCUCACUCUCUCCACUUCUGAUCGCUCAAUAAGGAUUGAUGCUGGCAAUCCAAGCAAUACGUGUGAAACACUGGAGGAACUCAGCAGGUCAAGCAGCAUCUGUAGAGAAGAGGAUUUCAAACUGUCAAAGGUCAGUCAUGUCUCCGCUUGACUGUUUGGAAAAUUAACAUACUAUUGAUUUCCAUACAAUUGCUAGCGAUGAACCUGCCAUUCCGGGUGGACUUUGAUCAUGUUCAAUGGAGAAAUUGUGAAAGGAUCCUACAGGACAGCUGAGUUAUCAACUGAUCCAUCAACCGCCUCCAGGGCUGCUGCUUGAAUCUCUGAGUUUCCAGCAUUCUUUGUUUUAAUUGGCCGGCUGGUGGCAUAGCAGCAUCAGUGCCAGACUUUGGAGAGAAGGUUCCUGAGUUUGAAUCCAGCCAGCUCCCCUGCACGCUUUCCAUCCGUGUGGGGUUGAGUGUCAAGCUAGCAACUCGGCCUCAUAUAAACAAGAUGCCUGCUAAAAAAAAACGCCGUUACGACAGCGUCCUGAUAACUCCACUUGGAGUUAAGGGCUUUCUUCUUCUUCUUCUUCAUUUUAAUUUCAGUCCAUUGAAUAUUACUUCACAGGAAGAUUAACAGGCAGACCUUCUCACUUACUGAUUCUACGAAACACAACGAUCACACAGCAGUCAUGGUUAUCCUGAACCUUUUAGAUAAAGCAUCUGACUUUGGUCCCACUGAACAAAUCAUGCAAGGUUAUCACACCAGACCUCACUCAGCCUAAUGAGAACAGAAAGAUCUGGACCUAUUCAAGAAUCAAUACCUGUUUAAUGAUUAUCCUUCAUGACCCUGUCAACAGCCUCCAAUUCCUCUAUACACCCAGAUAUCCAAUCGCAAACAAGAGAAAAUCUGCAGAUGCUGGACAUCCGA